rnacentral:lncRNA from 1 species
GGAAAAGGCUUUUUAGUUAUUGGCUAAUUACUUGAAACGUAGUCAUCAAGAGUUCAUAUAACUAGACCUGUCUUGGAGCAAUUUUUAUCUUUUGCAAAAUACCUUGAUGGUUUAUCUCAUGGAGUACCUUUGCUGAAGCAGCUUUGUGAUCAUAUUUUGUUUAUUAACCCAGCCAUCUGGAUACAUACACCUGCAAAGGCUGGAGAGCAAUGGCGCGAUCUCGGCUCACCGCAAUCUCCGCCUCCCUGGUUCAGCCCAUUCUCCUCCGUCAGCCUCCCGAGUAGCUGGGAUUACAGUUAGGUUCAACUUUCCCUAUAUACAUAUUUGUCUGCUGAAUUUAUUGGAACUGCUACCAUCUACACCACCAUAUGCAGAAUAGGAACAGUUAUUAAAGAUAAUGCACACCUUAAAAUAUUACUACUGGGUUAUUAAUCCUGCUGACAGUAGUGGCAUUACACCUAAAGGAUUAGGUAUGUAUAACACUUCCACUGUAUUUACAUUUGCCUAUGAAUAUUCUGUAUUCUGAGUACUGUUAAAGUGUGAGCCGUGUACAUGACUAUGAAAUCACUGAAAUGUUUUCUUUCUUAUGUAGCAAACUGACAUAUUGAGAAUUGUUUGUGGUAAAGAAGUUUAGGGCUUUUCAAUAUUAAAUUAUUUUGGAAUAAAAUCAGGUAAAAAGCAACAAUAGUCUUUAUUUUAGCCUGUAUGCCUUUUUCCAUUCAGGACACAUGCCCAUAUUUUUUUCUGAAUCAAUUGAUAAUAAAUUGUAGACAUGAUACCCUCU